GGAGGUGUAGCUCAGUUGGUAGAGCUGCAUGCUUAGCAUGCACGAGGUUCAGGGUUCAAACCCCAGUACCUCCU
rnacentral:tRNA from 1 species